CACGUAGGGGGCGAGCGUUGUCCGGAUUCAUUGGGCGUAAAGGGCGCGCAGGCGGCCCGGAAAGUCGGAUGUGAAAACUCGGGGCUCAACCCCGAGCGUGCACCCGAUACUGCCGGGCUUGAGGCAGGUAGGGGAGAUCGGAAUUCCUGGUGUAGCGGUGAAAUGCGUAGAUAUCGUGAGGAACACCAGAGGCGAAGGCGGCUACCUGGACAAUUGCUGACGCUCAGGCACGAAAGCGUGGAGAGCAAAAGGG
rnacentral:rRNA from 1 species